GAUGAACGCUGGCGGCGUGCCUAAUACAUGCAAGUCGAGCGAACAGACGAGGAGCUUGCACCUCUGACGUUAGCGGCGGACGGGUGAGUAACACGUGGAUAACCUACCUAUAAGACUGGGAUAACUUCGGGAAACCGGAGCUAAUACCGGAUAAUAUAUUGAACCGCAUGGUUCAAUAGUGAAAGACGGUUUUGCUGUCACUUAUAGAUGGAUCCGCGCCGCAUUAGCUAGUUGGUAAGGUAACGGCUUACCAAGGCAACGAUGCGUAGCCGACCUGAGAGGGUGAUCGGCCACACUGGAACUGAGACACGGUCCAGACUCCUACGGGAGGCAGCAGUAGGGAAUCUUCCGCAAUGGGCGAAAGCUUGACGGAGCAACGCCGCGUGAGUGAUGAAGGUCUUCGGAUCGUAAAACUCUGUUAUUAGGGAAGAACAAAUGUGUAAGUAACUAUGCACGUCUUGACGGUACCUAAUCAGAAAGCCACGGCUAACUACGUG
rnacentral:rRNA from 1 species